GUCCUUGUAACGCAAUCGAUAGCGCGUUGGACUUCUCAUCCAAAGGUCGUGGGUUCAAGUCCCACCUGGGAUA
rnacentral:tRNA from 1 species